rnacentral:rRNA from 1 species
AGAGUUUGAUCAUGGCUCAGGAUGAACGCUAGCGACAGGCCUAACACAUGCAAGUCGAGGGGCAUCGGGACGUAGCAAUACGUUGCCGGCGACCGGCGGAUGGGUGAGUAACGCGUAUGCAACCUACCCGUAGCAGGGGGAUAGCCCGUUGAAAGACGGAUUAAUACCCCGUAACACAGGGGCUCCGCAUGGAGAUUAUUGUUAAAGGGUCAUUUCUUUUUCAGGGAUGGUCCGGCUGCGGAUGGGCAUGCGUUCCAUUAGGUAGUUGGUGUAGGUAACGACUCACCAAGCCGACGAUGGAUAGGGGAACUGAGAGGUUGGUCCCCCACACUGGUACUGAGACACGGACCAGACUCCUACGGGAGGCAGCAGUGAGGAAUCUUGGUCAAUGGACGCAAGUCUGAACCAGCCAUGUCGCGUGAAGGAGGACGGCCCUAAGGGUUGUAAACUUCUUUUGCAGUGGAAUAAAGUUUGCCACGUGUUGGCGAUUUGCAAGUACGCUGCGAAUAAGGAUCGGCUAACUCCGUGCCAGCAGCCGCGGUAAUACGGAGGAUCCAGGCGUUAUCCGGAUUUAUUGGGUUUAAAGGGUGCGCAGGCGGGGAAUUAGGUAGGCGGUGAAAUUUCGGGGCUCAACCUCGACAGUGCCGUUGAAACCGUUUCUCUUGAGUGCGGAUGAGGUAGGCGGAAUUUGUGGUGUAGCGGUGAAAUGCGUAGAUAUCACAAGGAACACCGAUUGCGGAGGCAGCUUACUAAACCGUUACUGACGCUCAUGCACGAAGGCGUGGGGAUCAAACAGGAUUAGAUACCCUGGUAGUCCACGCAGUAAACGAUGAUUACUUGCUGUUUGCGAUACACAGUAAGCGGCGUAGCGAAAGCGUUAAGUAAUCCACCUGGGGAGUACGUUCGCAAGAAUGAAACUCAAAGGAAUUGACGGGGCCCGCACAAGCGGAGGAACAUGUGGUUUAAUUCGAUGAUACGCGAGGAACCUUACCCGGGCUUGAAAUGCAUUCGACGGGUUGGAAACAGCCUUUCCCUUCGGGC